UGGGUUCUGACUCCACCAUCGCAGGACAUGGAGGGCACAGGUGCGCAGCUGUGCAGGAGGAAGAUGUGGAACACAGACCAGAGAGCUCGCUCAGAGCGGGACCAUCUUUAAAUAAGGAAACAAAAGUGAAAUGGAAGCAGAGGGAGAAGUGACAUGCCCAGAUCACACAGUGACUUGAUGGAACAGCCACGGCCAGAUCCCAGGACCCACAGGUCAGCCAUGCUGGGGAAUUGGGGCUCCAUCCACAAGAAGAGGGAGCCACCGAAGGUCUUCAUUUGGAAAGAGAGACAUGUUCCAAUUUCUGUUUUGGGAAAAAACAUUCUGAGUGGAGUGUAGUGGAUAUAAGAGGGCACGAGGAUGAGAUGGGAAAACAGAGGAUAGAGAUGACACCUGAAAUUGAGCCUUGAAGUUUCCAGAAGAAGUUUGUUGAAUCCUGGGUUAGAGCAGUUAAGCCCCCACUCACUGACUAAUGCAAGUUCCCUUUGGUAAGGACCACACCUCUACGACAAUGUAAGCACAAGCUGUGAACUUUUGGAUGUCUGAUACAGCAUAGGCCAAUUCUUUUUCCUUCUCCUUACCUGAUGUGGACUUGAGAGAGAGAGGAAUUUUUUGAAAACAAGAGAAAUUUGAUAGCCAAGUGGAAGACUUUGGUUUAGAAACUUUCCCUCAAUUAAAUAAACUCAGUGGUCUGAAA